AAAAAGGAGUCUUUUGCUUGUCCUAAAAGCACAGGUGAAUAAGGGGUGGGCAAGUCUGGUGUCAGCCGCCGCGGUAAUACCAGCACCUCGAGUGGUCAGGACGUUUAUUGGGCCUAAAGCAUCCGUAGCCGGCUCUGCAAGUCUUCGGUUAAAUCCACCUGCUCAACAGAUGGGCCGCUGGAGAUACUACAGAGCUAGGGAGUGGGAGAGGCAGACGGUAUUCAGUGGGUAGGGGUAAAAUCCUCUGAUCCAUUGAGGACCACCAGUGGCGAAGGCGGUCUGCCAGAACACGUUCGACGGUGAGGGAUGAAAGCUGGGGGAGCAAACCGGAUUAGAUACCCGGGUAGUCCCAGCUGUAAACGAUGCAAACUCGGUGAUGCAUUGGCUUAUGGCCAAUGCAGUGCCGCAGGGAAGCCGUUAAGUUUGCCGCCUGGGAAGUACGGACGCAAGUCUGAAACUUAAANGGAAUUGGCGGGGGAGCACCACAAGGGGUGAAGCCUGCGGUUCAAUUGGAGUCAACGNCCAGGAAUCUUACCCGGGGAGACAGCAGAAUGAAGGUCAAGCUGAAAGACUUUAACCCAGACAAGCUGAGAGGAGGUGCAU
rnacentral:rRNA from 1 species